GAGAAUCAAACUGAAUGGGGAAGACUGAUUCCCAAUCUGUUCCUUGAAAUAAGGGAUUUGAGUCCUUUUUUCUUGUUUCUCUUCUGUUUAUAAAUAAACAUUGCCACCGCCAACAGAAACAGUUCCAACAAAUAGAGUAUUGUUCUGCCUACACGAUGUUAUUCUGUUUUAGAUGUGCCAUGGAUGUUCUCUGUCGAUCUCUCUCCUCUGUUUCUUUUCUUAAAAUCACUACUGCCACCUUCUCUUCCCCACCGUCGGAUCCCUAUGAACUAUCUCCUUUAUCGGCGGCUUAUGGUUCAUAUUAGUGGGGAUAGAGGGGGAUUUGAUCAAGCAUAUCAGAUUGUGUUAUUUCACUGCCAUUAGUAACCCCCACCAGAGCACCAUUACAGUUUACCCUUUUCAUUAUCGGCAUCUCUCUUUUUCUCUAAAAAGCCCUAAUUGCCACCACGAAGACCAACUACAUGUAGUUCUUGAUAUGGUUCUACUUGCAACAUAUAUAGAAAUAUUAAGUAGUUUGAAAAUUCUGGUGCUUAUAAUGGUAUGAUUUCACAUCUAUCAUCUAUUAUUUUGACAAAUUCCUUCCUGUUUCUCGGCAUUUCUCCCAUAUCUUUGCGUUUUCUAUUCACAAAUCCAGGAUAUAGUGCCCAUUUGCCUUCGUCGAGUCUUCUAGGGUUCAAUCCAACUUACAAAUUUCUCUUAUCUUCUCUCCACAAACCCUAGAUCGAAUCUCUUAUCUUCUCUCCACAAACCUAGAUCGAAUGUUGCUGCCCCCGUCAUCUACAUCAUAUAAGGCAACACCCACCACUAACACUCUCCUCCUUCUCUCUUCUUAUCCGACAACGUUCACCACCACACACCACCGUAUAAACCACCAUCAUUGAUUUUAUCAAUUUCAUCUAUUUCUAAUUUACAAUUUAACUGGAUUUUCAGGUUCCCGUGAAGCCCGCACUACCAUUACCAUCGAGGUCACUCUCACACUAAUCCAUUCAUCUAAUCAUGUGUAAGUGUGUGUUUAUCUUCUUAAAGUUUCAUAAAUACUUUAUCUCUGGUUGUUAAUUAGUUUUUUGUAUGUAUGUGUGUGUUUAACCUUUGAACAACCAUUUUUGUUUCAGCAAGCCCAUGGAUCUUCUUGGCCACUUUUCAUGGUAAUCCAUAACGUUUUGAGCUCCAUAUCUUAGUUUGGAACUUUUGUUCCCAGAUAUAAAACUAUUUGAUUUACCUCUCGGGUUUCCAGUAAACUUAUUUGUAUUUUGCAGGCUCAAGAAGUCUUUAAUGAAGCUGGAGUAUGUGGAUUCUCGAAAGGCACUUAUGUGACUUUACUUAUGGUAUGUGUCAUAUGUUUGAUUUGGAAACAUAUUGUAAGGAAACAUCUUUAAAUUUGAUUUGGUUUUUGGAAGGACUGUAUGUAUGAUGAAAGGGGGUUAUUGUUGUGUAAAAUUAGAAAAGAAGGAAUUUAAUAAAUUCUUGGUUUGGCAAAUGCACAUGGACCUGCAUAAUCUGGAGGUAAAUGUUAGUGGUCAAAAAUUCUAUUAAUUAAGGGUAUUUGUAUUUGAUGUCAAAUUUAUAUUUUUGUUUGUAUUCUAAAUGUUGGUUGCUUGAGAAGGAUCUCUAAAAAAAACCUUAAACAAGCAUCUUA
rnacentral:lncRNA from 1 species